CACCUACGGGGGGCUGCAGUGGGGAAUUUUGGACAAUGGGCGCAAGCCUGAUCCAGCAAUGCCGCGUGCAGGAUGAAGGCCCUCGGGUUGUAAACUGCUUUUGUACGGAACGAAAAGCCUGAGGCUAAUAUCCUCGGGUCAUGACGGUACCGUAAGAAUAAGCACCGGCUAACUACGUGCCAGCAGCCGCGGUAAUACGUAGGGUGCAAGCGUUAAUCGGAAUUACUGGGCGUAAAGCGUGCGCAGGCGGUUUUGUAAGACAGUGGUGAAAUCCCCGGGCUCAACCUGGGAACUGCCAUUGUGACUGCAAGGCUAGAGUGCGGCAGAGGGGGAUGGAAUUCCGCGUGUAGCAGUGAAAUGCGUAGAUAUGCGGAGGAACACCGAUGGCGAAGGCAAUCCCCUGGGCCUGCACUGACGCUCAUGCACGAAAGCGUGGGGAGCAAACAGGAUUAGAUACCCCAGUAGUCUUU
rnacentral:rRNA from 1 species